UAAAGGAUGCAAGAAGCUGAUUUAGUAUUGGAUCGACAUCCACUUCGACAUGGGAGUUAGCUGGAUGACUCAUCCUAGUCUUUCUCGGUCUUCCCCUUUUUUUCCUUGUACUCGUGUCUUCUACAUCAUUAACGUGCACGCUAUAGCCACUGCCGAAUUGGUCGCUCUGAUUCUGUGAAUCACUGACACCAUCAUCUUCUGCAACCUGUACUUGUGUCUUCUACAUCAUUAUCGUGCACGCUAUAGCCACUGCCGAAUUGGUCACUCUGAUUCUGUGAAUCGCUGACACCAUCAUCUUCUGCAACUAAGCCAUUCGUAGCACGAGGUCUGCCGGGCCUCCUUGGACAAGUGUCU
rnacentral:lncRNA from 1 species